UGAGGUCAUAGCUGUAAAACCUAUAAAAGGAGGAGCUGCAACCCAAUAGCAGGCCAGUCGCCGCCUCUGCCUUUUUGACUGCGAUCGACCCUUUUCUGACAAAAUAAACUUUUUAUUUGACUUCUAUUCAGCUCGUCUCUACGUGAGUGUCACCGCCAGUCUCUUCCGCAGUAUUGGGUGCGUUGGCCAGGAAGGGAAGAGGCGCACGUCCCCUGGAUUUCCUGGGUUCCCCUUCUAGGACUCAGAGGCUCAAACCUCAAACAGAGACAGCAGAAGGAAGGAAUUCAAGUGGGUGAAAUCGUCAGUCUGAAUGGGGCUGGCCAGCAGGUCAGGUGGGGUCCAGAGCACGCGACAGGCACCACAGCUGGCCAUGUGCUGUGGGAGCGUCCCUAGGGCUGGCCCCUGCCUGGAAUCAUCAGAAGGGGGACUGAAGAGAUUCGGAUGGAUGCCCAGGGCGCGGUCACGCCACGAUCCUUUCAACUCUGUACCUCAGGGGAUGAGGGUUUCCAGGGGGGAGACACCACGAAGAGGGGGCUGGCUCUCCUGGGAUCCCGGGGGAGCCUCAUUAGCCCAGGAAGACGGGGCUGGUGCUCUGUGGGGUCUGCGUGUCAGGGCCUGGGAGGGUGCGAGGUAGUGUCGCUCUGUUAGUGUGACCCCCCUGCUGGGGUGCUUUCUCCGCUCCUCUUGACUCCGCCCUCACUUCCCCCCACCAGGCUGACUGUCUGAGGGAUAUGGCUCUGGUCCUGGUUCUGGUUCCAGCUCCCUCCCAGGCCUGUGGGUGGCCCGGAGUCCGGCUCUCCUCAUGCUGUGAGGCAGCUGCAGUCCAGUAUCUGCAGCUCAGGCCCCGGAGUCUCACAGGGGCCUCCAAGCAUUGCUGCAAGCUCCCCGCCCCGGCCUUCCACUGCCUCUGGGGGUCUGUGGCUCCCGACUCAGACCGGAACCCACCCAGGUCUUCCCCAUCAGCCCCUCCUGUCCAAGCUGACACACACUCACGUGGCUUUGGUCACCCUUGGCACAUCCCGCGUUUGCCUCGGACCGCAGCUCUUGCUCCUCCAGCAGAUGGAAAGCCCCUCAAGGACCCAGACUCACUUCUGCCCCACACGGCCAGUGCUUGGCACCUCGGGGCUGGCCGGAUGCGUACCUGGGUGAACUUGAGCCUGCCUGUGGGCACAACCUGUUGCCAGCCCCCUAACUGCACGGGCUCUUUGAGGGACCCGAGGGAGCCUCCUGGAGGCAGAGGGCGAGGCUGGGCUGGUGGGGUCUCCUUCCUGAGGCCUCUCGGCCGUCCUGGGACAGCAGCAUGUGGACCCCCUUCUGUCCCCCGCGCGCCCUGUGACACGGGUCUGGCUCAGCCUCCGACUGGGUGCCCACCGGGCGCCCCUCUGAAGGGCCGGCAGACGAAGAAUGGGCACCCCAGGGAUCUUGGAGCUCUGUCUUUGGGACCUCAGCCCCUACCGGAUCUGUCAGCUUGUUGGAGCCAGAGGCCAGCAGUGUGGCCAGAGACACCACCGGGAUCAAGGACGAACUGAAGAAGAGGAGGCUCUAGGAGGGCACGGCCGCAUCUUUGCAAGAGGUCUCUUCGGAAGCUGGUUAUUUACUGUUCCUCAAGACUGAUGCAAAUGAGCGUGAGAGGGACGGGGAGGAGGUUCAGUGUGAUGGCCAGAGGAGCCCCAAACGACUCACUCCCAGGCCCUUUUGAUUCCACCAACGUGCAGGUGUGUCUUUUUUUUUUUGUACCGGGAAUCGAACUCGGGUCUUUGGGUUUGCGAGGCACAGGCGUGUGUCUUGGUCUCCAGCUCUCAACAACGCCUGGGGCCCUUCCUCCCA
ensembl:lincRNA